rnacentral:pre_miRNA from 1 species
AAUAAGUACAGUUUUACACUAUUCAUGUUCAACGUUUGACCGUCCAUCUUAUUUGAAAAUUUUUUAUGAUUAGUAUUUUUAUUGCUAUUAGAUAAUAAAACAUGAAUAGUACUUUAUGUGUGACUAAAUGUUUUUAAUUUUUUCACAAAUUUUUCAAAUAAGACGGACGGUCAAACGUUGAACGUGAAUAGUGCAAAACUGCACUUAUU